CACAGAUGGUGACGGUGUGGAGAGACGGUGGUGUUUCCUCAGAAGAACUAGCAGAGUCACAAAGAGCACCAGUCCAUCUCACCACCUUGACUUGCUGACUGAUGCUCGUCUGCACUGCACAGAGGAAAUCAACUGACCGAGGAGUGUUUCUGGGUGAGGGAGAGAGGAGUCAUCAUCCAGGUAAAGUGACGUGGAUCAGUGGACACACUUGUCUCCCCUUUAAAGGAGAUACUCUUAGAGAGAGACGAUCCGAGUCAUCCCUAAAUAUGGGCAGGAUAUCAGUCUUGGACUGUCUAACCUGCCGGAGCAGCACUGAAUGACCACCACACAUGAGCAUGUUCCUGCAACAUUCAGCAGCUUUGCUUUUGUGUCAAAUGUCAAACAGCUGGAGAGGAAACUACACCAGUGUACUGGGAUGUUUCACCAACACGUGCCAGAUGGUGUUCCUUCAUGGUUUCAUCACCAGAGACAGCCCCGCCCACCUCAGGACCUCGCCAUUGAUCAUGAUGAUUAUAAUGAUGACAGCGAGCGGAACUAAGACUGUAAAAAUCCACGACCAGAAUGUUUAGAUGCUUUCUAAUUAUUAAUGAAUACUGAGAGCCUCUUUCUGUGUUUUGUCUGUUUUGGGUUGUUUUUUUACCUCAUUUGUUACUAACAAAGUUCACCAAACUCACACAGUUUACAUUCUGUAUGUUUCCAUCUUUACCAGCCACACUCUACCUGCAUUUAGAAAUCAAACCUUAGAAAUCGUCGUUUUUCUCUUUUGUAAUUUUGUAAUUCAGUGAAUAUACUGCACUGCUUCCUUUUAUUGCAUCACACAUUGCUUUAAGUUUUUCAGUGUCC